AAGGGCGAGAGGAUCCUGCUCAACAAUUUCAACAGCUCAGCCCCUUGCUGCUGGUCACACCAGAGCACCGGCUCAUCGGGAGUUCUCUGUUUGCAAAAUUAACCUGGGAGUAGUUGUAAAUAAGGCUGGAGCUCCCAGGGAGCAGCUGAGGGACGUCCCUGCCUGCUGCCACCAUUUCAGCGCACGGGUCCAGAUUUUAGCUCCGAGCUACCGCAGAUGUCAGCAACACAAGAGGUGCCUGACGCCGCAGGAAAAGACAACCUGUCACCCUUCGGAGCAGGAAACCGGCUCCUUCAUCCCACACCACGACUCACGUGGGAAACAGAAGCUAAAGC